UCUCCGUAGGUGAACCUGCGGAGGGAUCAUUACAGAGUUCGUGCCCUCACAGGUAGAUCUCCCACCCUGUGUUAUUAUACCUUUGUUGCUUUGGCGGGCCGCCCUCGGCUACCGGCCCUGGCUGGUACGCGCCCGCCAGAGGACCCCAAACUCUGAAUGUUAGUGUCGUCUGAGUACUAUACAAUAGUUAAAACUUUCAACAACGGAUCUCUUGGUUCUG
rnacentral:misc_RNA from 1 species